AAUGAUACAUGUGUAUUCCAGCUCUGUAUAAGCAUGACAUGCUCUAUAGACAUAGCUCCUAAGAAAUAGAUUGUACCUUCCACCACGCCAAGAAGACGGUGAAAUGAGUUACGAUUUUUGUCCAAGAUGUCCUUAGAAAGGCAGGAAUCCAGCAGGCAGCAGUGGAUGAGUUCCACAUGUUUCAGAGAUUGCUUGUCACAAUAUCAGAAAAGCUCCACUUAAAAAAAAGGAAAAAGGAGCCUGACUCACAUAUUGGACUGCUGAGAUAACACUGCAGAAUUGGGCUCAGGGGGAAAAAAGACAAGCUGAAGGAUCUGGAUGCCUGCCCUGGAGCUCACCUGGGUGAAAAGGUCACACCCCCCUUCAGCAGUUGCUGCUCACCACCACCUCCCUGUGAAAAACUGCCACCCUUUCAAAUUGACUGCUGCAAACUCUUCAGCCAAUGGCUCCCUCACCCGAUUCAGUUAAAUCCAUCAAGUUCAGUUAAAACAUGUUAAUAUUUACUUAAGCAAAGUGCUCAUCCAGGCCAGGCAGCUGUCAAACCCAGCCCCUCUCACUGCUCUCACCCUACCUUCCAACUAGAGACCAGCACCUCCUCAUGACUGCACUUUAUCUGCUGUUUGGUUUGGUUUUAAAUACCAGUCAGUUCAGAGUUUGGGGCAUGCAGUACAGCUAAAGAAAGAAACUGUCCCAAAUGGAAAUGAGGGGAGGAGGAUGACUUCUGGCCAAGGGUUGGAACCAGCAUCCUCAUAGGCAAGGGUGGGUGGCAUCUGGAGCUACUUCACCUGGACCUGCCACUGCUUCAGUAGAGUUGCAGUACACCUUCUAUCUCAGAUUGCUGUAAGGCAGCCUUGCUGUGGGUCAGCAUUAGGGUAACAGGCUUUUUGAUACCCUGAAUUACCUGAACACAGCCCCCUCAAGAAGCAAUUUGAAAGGUUUUAUUGUUGCUUCCAUAGAAGCAACAUUUUCUUUCUCUCUUGUUCAUUCAACACAAUAGUAACUGCAUUUUAAUGAUCACAGAACUCAGACUUCAGAGCAAGCAGCUGCUUUUAAGAUGAAUUUGCAUAUGUAUAUUUUUAACAGAACAGUCACCUUCCUUCUUAAAUUAUUGAAGGGCUCUUGGAUGAACCUGUCAAUAUGACAUUUUGCUGAGAAAAGAAAGAGAAAACCAUAACAGCUAAUAAUCAUGAUGAAGGACCUGAUAUAACAUCGUUGCCCACGAAAUACCCUAUUGCCACUGCUAGUAACAGGCCACAGACAACACACUAGCUUUUCAAGGUCACAGGAGUGAGGCUUGCCAGGCUUUGCCCAAGCUUGGCUUGAUCUGCCUUGAGCUUAGUUUUAGUUUGUUUAACUGUAACAGCAUUUUUCCCUAAUGACUAGGUGGCUAAUUGCUAACUUGUUUGAAUAAUCUACUUGUAUAUUCAUUGAGUAUAACUGUACUU